GUGUCCGGCAACAAACAGCCGCCGCCGAGCGAGUCUCGGAGAUGGAGAUGGACAUGGACAUGGACAUGGACAUGGACACCAGGAGUCAUCCUGGGGGCUGUCAAAAUACUUCUUACAAAUAACCCACCCCAGCCUGGUCAAUUGCCCCUUCCUGAUGAAAUUCCUAAGUCGUGGCAAUAUCCAGGUAUAAAUCGUUUCCAUGCCUCGCACGUUUGCAGACAUCUAAAGAAUCAUGGAUACAUCACGGAGAGGAACGUUGCAAGAGAGGCGUUGGCUGGAGACCCUCAGCAGCCUGGGGCUCACCUAGAUCGGGCACUGCUCAUUAGAACUAGAGCGCGGACUGGACCUUGAAAAUGGAGCCGAUACAUCGUGCCUGUUGCAUGUGGGAUCAGUGGACCUUCUGCACACUUUGCUAAUUGGAGAUGUGCUUAGGUAUGGCAAUACUCUACUGGACUGUAUGUAAGAAAAUAAUUUCACUGUGCGUUUGCACAUGUGACAAUAAAAGCAUAAUUGAACAUCUUUACUUAUGGCUCAGAAGGAAUUUAGGAAUAAAUAAAAUCUGUAAACAUCAUAGUAUUUUUCAAAUGCACCCUUUGGAAGAGGCUGUUCUUGUAUAACCACCAAUAAUUCAUGCAAUUAUUUAUGGUGCUUUUAUGAUAAAAUAACGCCUUCAGUGUUUGCUUUUGGUGCAUGUCGGAGAAAUUGGAUCAAUGAAAAUGUAUUUCAUGACAGGACAAAUCGUGUUGGUAAUUGAGAGUAGACAA